rnacentral:rRNA from 1 species
CCUACGGGAGGCAGCAGUGGGGGAUAUUGCACAAUGGGCGGAACCCUGAUGCAGCGACGCCGCGUGGGUGAAGAAGGGCCUCGGCGCGUAAAGCCCUGUCAGCAGGGAAGAACAUGACGGUACCUGAAGAAGAAGCCACGGCUAACUACGUACCAGCAGCCGCGGUAAUACGGAGGGGGCAAGCGUUAUCCGGAUUUACUGGGUGUAACGGGGGCGCAGACGGCGAUGCAAGCCAGGGGUGAAAGCCCGGGGCCCAACCCCGGGACUGCUCUUGGAACUGCGUGGCUGGAGUGCAGGAGGGGCAGGUGGAAUUCCUGGUGUAGCGGUGAAAUGCGUAGAUAUCAGGAGGAACACCGGUGGCGAAGGCGGCCUGCUGGACUGCAACUGACGUUGAGGCCCGAAAGCGUGGGGAGCAAACAGGAUUAGAUACCCCUGUAGUC